rnacentral:lncRNA from 1 species
CAAACUUUUGACUGGUACUGUAUGUAUAAUGCCUUUUAACGAUCUUUAUAAUGCCUUAUAGGGCCUUAUUGGAGAAAAGGGUCGAAGAGGCCGAAUGGGAGAACCAGGCGAGAAGGGCUCCAUUGGUUUACCAGGCCGUCGGAGUUUUGUUGGUCCACGUGUAAGUAUUUCUCUCACCGUAUGCGUACCAAAUAGCGCCCUAUUCCUUUUAUAGUGCACUAUUUUUGACCAGAACCCUAAAGGUUUACUGUGUCUGUGUUCUCUUCAGGGACCUCAGGGAGUCAGUGGGGCCACUGGCCCAGAGGGGCUCCCCGGCCCUGAUGUGAGUGACCCACAGUAACAAUACUACAAACAAAUAAACUGGUACUUACUGGCCAUUGUUUAUCACUAAAGUUGAGUGUGUCAUUAACUUGUGUCCAUGUGUUUGUGACUUUCCAGGGGGAGGCUGGGUUUGAUGGGCCUCCAGGGACUCCUGGGUCAAUGGUGAGUAGACAGGCAACAGGAGUCUGGACUUCCCCUACUAUGUAUUCCAACAUACAGUAAAACACAGUAUUCUAAUGGGUCCCAAUUGCAAAUGUUACUGUAUGUCAGUCACCCUACAUCAUAUCACUCAGUGUGUGUAUUUGUGUUUUGCGCAGGGAGCCGCUGGUUUCACAGGCUCUGUCGGCGCUCAGGGAGUUAACGGCUCAAAGGGAGAGUUGGGCCUUGUUGGAGUUGUUGGCCCCAGAGGCCCGCAGGUAAGAGGAGACGUUUGUCUUGUUGUGUUUUCUUGCCUGAAGUUGGGUCACAUUCAACAGAACUACAUGCUCUAUGCUUGUUAGACUAUCAAGGAAAUAUUUCUUUUUAUUUCACCAGGGGCCCCAGGGUUUAGAUGGUGAGAGUGGGCCUCCAGGUCUCAGGGGAAUUCAGGUCAGUCUCAAUCAGCUGCACAACUUUCCCUAACAGAGACUUGGGACCAGAUGAUUGUCUUUGGAAAUGUAUUUUUCUGAGGGAUAAUAUCUGGGGUUAAAGGUCAUCUGUAUUUUCACAGGGACAGCUUGGGAUGAGUGGUGCCGCUGGUCCGAAAGGUGACCCUGUAAGUCUCUCCUCUCUUCACUGGUAAAGUUCAUUCUGCUCUAGUAAAACAAACUACUAUACCUGUCUCUCUCCAACCCCCUUGCUUCCUUUCUUUCUCUGUCUUCCUCAGGGACCAAUGGGGAUGAUGGGUAUCCGGGGUGAGCUAGGGUUCGAGGGGCCCAUGGUGAGUAGCAUAGUACCCAGUGGACUGACCACCUUCACCACACUUUGCCUGCCAGAGACACACACUCACACAGCAACCUCACAGUGCCCCCAUGUGGCAGAGCUUUGUCACAGUGUUAGGCUACAGAUUAUAAUAUGCUUUGUGUAUCCCAUGUCCUACAUCUUCUAGCUUUUAUGGGUUGUGG